rnacentral:lncRNA from 10 species
CCAACUCUCCUCUGAAGGAAAGAAGUAAAUUGUUAUAACAAAGAACACCAGCGAAGUCUUGUCAACAUCACUUUCUGAUGGCAAAGCCCGGUAAAGUUGAAUACAUGAAACUACAUUUCCCAAGAUCCUUUGCCAACUGGCUCGCCAUGAGAUUCAGCCAACGGUAGGUACUAACGGAUGAUUUGAAGUCUGGAGAAGGGCCAUCUUAUGGGAGCAUGUUUCCUUCCCUCUCUGCCUCAGCUUGUGUCAUCUGGAGAAGAGCUCGUCUGUCCUCUAGUAUGUCCCAGGGCUUGCUCCAAUCACGUUGAAGUCCAGCUUCCACUAGCUGGCCCUUGCUCCCAGUUUCCAACAACACUGUCUGCUCUUCUGCUUCCUCCAUUUUGGGGUGCAGUAGUUUCCUGUUUGGGUCAUUGCUAAGACCCUAUUUGCUUUCUCUGGUUUUCCAUCACCAUAUGACCAAUUUUCUGCAUUAAAU